GAUGAACGCUAGCGGCAGGCCUAACACAUGCAAGUCGAACGAGAAAGGGGCUUCGGCUCCGAGUAAAGUGGCGCACGGGUGAGUAACACGUGGGUAACCUGCCUCUAAGAUUGGGAUAACUCGUCGAAAGAUGAGCUAAUACCGGAUAAGACCACAGUUCCCGCGGGAACAGGGGUCAAAGGUAGCCUCUGCUUGCAAGCUAUCACUUAGAGAUGGGCCUGCGCACCAUUAGCUAGUUGGUAGGGUAACGGCCUACCAAGGCAAAGAUGGUUAGCUGGUCUGCGGGGAUGAUCAGCCACACUGGAACUGAGACACGGUCCAGACUCCUACGGGAGGCAGCAGUGGGGAAUAUUGCGCAAUGGGCGAAAGCUUGACGCAGCAACGCCGCGUGAGUGAUGAAGGCCUUCGGGUCGUAAAGCUCUGUCGGGAGGAACGAAUGCUCCCAAGGUUAACAGCCUCGGGAGGUGACGGUACCUUCAAAGGAAGCACCGGCUAACUCUGUGCCAGCCGCCGCCGUAAGAC
rnacentral:rRNA from 1 species